rnacentral:rRNA from 1 species
ACGGGGGGAACGAGCGUUGUUCGGAUUUACUGGGCGUAAAGGGCGUGCAGGCGGAUUUUUAAGUCGGAUGUGAAAACCCCGGGCUUAACCCGGGGCCUGCAUCUGAUACUGUUAAUCUUGAGUACGGGAGAGGAAAGCGGAAUUCCAGGUGUAGCGGUGACAUGCGUAGAUAUCUGGAAGAACACCGGUGGCGAAGGCGUCUUUCUGGACCGAUACUGUCGCUGAGGCGCGACCACCAGGUGAGCAAACAG